CUACGCGGAACAGUCAAGGUAAGGGCGGCUGAUUGCCCAAUUAACUUCAGCCACAGGAAACUUUCGCCGUCAUUUUCUUAAUUUUAUUUUGCCAGACCGGACACUGGCGGGCCGGGCGCGCAGCACGCAGCAGGAGUGAGGCCUCUUGGUGCCCCGCCGCUCACUGCCGCCAGGAUCUAAGGGAGCAGAGAGUGGCAGGAGUUUGCGUGACUUGGUGCCUCAGGAGUUACGUGGAAUCUUCCUGAGGCGGUGGGGGUGAAUGGUGUUACGGUCCCAAGUGAGGCGAGAUGUGUUGCAGCAGUAACUCAGCGGUGGACAGUUGCUGUUGGGUAAUGCAAUCUGUUUCACCCCCAGAGUCAGGGCUGUUGCGGUGACAGACAGGUGGGAUGUCAACAGCCUCCACUCCAGGCAGUGUGGCGGCGCGAGGCGGGGGCGCACCAACACCACCAGCUACCAACGAAUUUGCUGCAGACGAAGUGGAUUAAUAAUGAACGUGAAUCAAGAGAGCAAACAUACAUUUCCAUUAUUAAUGACGCAGCUUUACUCUUUGAUGCUUACACAUGUGACAUUUAUAUAGGAAGUGUUAGUUUGGCGAAUUGAGUUGGUUGUAAUCCUCCCUUCACCAGCUGUUUUCGCUAAGUGAAUAGUAAACGAAUUAAUGUAAUUAGUAAAUGACAUUUGGAUGAAUGGAUAUAAUUGCAAUAUCAGGUCAUGUGAAAAAAGCCAUUAUUUCAGGCGAGGGAGGCGUGCGUGUGGAUGAUUAACCGGACUCCACUUAUUGACUUACUGCUGACUUUAAAUUAAUUAUGACCGUUUGUACACUGUGACUGAACACAUGAACUAUUAUUGUAUCCCUGUUCUCGGUGACUAAUUGCCAGACCAUCUCGUGCAGCGAAGCAAAUAAUGGCUUAAAAAAAGAAAAAAAAACUAAUCCCCCGUAUUGUGUUUAAUUCACGGUGUGCCGAAUCAGCAUUUUUCACCGCUGCACACUGGACAACCUCUCUUCGCGGUGAUCUGGGGGAUGGCUAGCAUGUCUGCCAAUAUCAGCCUUUGCUGCCAGAGUUACAACCGUUGCUUGAGUGCCUUCUUCCCGGUACGGAAAAAUUGAUUCUUGGAAAAAUAUU